rnacentral:rRNA from 1 species
CCUACGGGAGGCUGCAGUGGGGAAUAUUGCACAAUGGGGGAAACCCUGAUGCAGCGACGCCGCGUGAGUUAAGAAGUAUCUCGGUACGUAAAGCUCUAUCAGCAGGGAAGAAAAUGAAGGUACCUGACUAAGAAGCCCCGGCUAACUACGGCCCAGCAGCCGCGGUAAUACGUAGGGGGCAAGCGUUAUCCGGAUUUACUGGGGGUAAAGGGAGCGUAGAUGGCAGCACAAGUCUGGUGUGAAAUCCCGGGGCUUAACCCCGGAACUGCAUUGGAAACUGUGCGGCUGGAGUGCAGGAGGGGGAAGCGGAAUUCCUAGUGUAGCGGUGAAAUGCGUAGAUAUUAGGAGGAACACCGGUGGCGAAGGCGGCUUACUGGACUGUAACUGACGUUGAGGCUCGAAAGCGUGGGGAGCAAACAGGAUUAGAUACCCGGGUAGUC